AGCAGGACUGAGGGUGUGGGGUGUGGAGCAGGGCUCCUUUUGGGAUACACAAAGGGCUGCCUGGCCCUGGGUUUCACACAGAUUUUCCACUGGGGCUGUCUGAGACACGACUCAGCUGUUGGGACUGCAGAGACCUCCCUAUGAUCGGGCACGGUCAUUUUUAGACCCAUCAGGCAGCACCAGCCACACACUUCAGCAAGGACGAGGGAGGUGCUCUGCACCCUCCGUGAAGGAGCUGUCGGCUCGGUAUCUCUCGCAGACAGCUGCUGCUGCCGGCGCCAGCCCCGCACAGCCGAGUGCUGUGAAGGAUAACUCCAUUCACUCUCCCCACAGACAGAAAAAAAGCAAG